rfam:Picoides pubescens contig71927, whole genome shotgun sequence.
AAAAAGGGUUUCUGCCGUGCGUGGCACGGGGGCGGUCGCGCGGCCGCCUCCGCGGAAUCGACAUCAAGAGAUUUCGGAAGCACAAUUUUUGUACGGGGGGGCGCCGGUAACCGCCUGUUCCGGCGCCCCG